AAGAAUAAAAAAUAAUUAAAAUAGGGCAUAUAUAAUAUAGUGCAAUCAGUUUGGACGCAGCAUAGUGCUCAUUCAGUAAAUGCAUAGCUAAACAGAUGUGUUUUGAGUCUGGAUUUGAAUAGGCCUAUUUCACAAUAUGGCGGCCGAGACCGGAUGUAGGUAAAACGCAUUUCCGGUGAAAGCUAUUCCGGUGAAAGCCUUUCCAAAACAAUGGCGGAGACUAAAAGUAGUCAGUCUUGUUCAGUUUAUGCUUGUUCAGUUUAUGCCUUUGUGCUUAAAUUCUAAAAAAAAAAAAACCCUACUUGUCCUUUCACAGCUUUCCGAGCGAUGAAAUUGCUAAAAAGCGUUGGAUUUGGGCAAUUCGAAGAGAUGAGGGAGCAUCAUUUACAGUGAGGAGGGGCAGCAGUUUUGUGUGUGUUAUGCACUUCACGGAGAAUGAAGUCCGCGUCCACCCCGAGUCUGGUCGUAAAUACCUUACUCCACAGGCUGUGCCUUCCAGGUUUUCUUGGAACAACUGGGGAGAUGUUAAAUCACGCCAGACACGGACGGCAAAAAGAGGUGUUUGUAGUGAGCAGGAGGAAGCAGAUGUUGAAAUGAAGAGUUGAUACUGCGCUGCUGGUGCACGACUACGAUAUCCGUGCUCCCCCGGGUGCUCUUGAUGAGGCGCUGGAAAAAAUAAAGGAGCUGGAGGAACUGGUGUCAAGCCUUACCAUCUCUCGAGCUUUGCUGGAGAAAUGGUGUGUGUCUGAUGAAGACUUCAGACACUUUACAAGAUUCCCAAACAAAAACAUAUUUUUUGUUUUCUGGAGAUUGAGCCCUCUGCAUCCAGGAUUGUAUACUGGUCCAAAGCCAAGCGGAUUGGAAUUUCAACGGUACAGAAAGAGGUUGUGAAGGCAAGCCCUCAGCGCAAGAUGCAGCUCAUUGAUGAGUUUUUCAUGUUUUGUUUGCGUGUUGCUGUCGGCCUUAGAGAGAGAGUUUUGGCCGAGAUUUUUCAAGUUAGCACUUCUACAGUGAGUCGCAUUACCAUCACAUGGUCAAACUACCUGUACCUUGUGUUGGGUUCGGUUUCAAUCUGGAUGACCCGGGACCAGGUGAGGCGAACAAUGCCUGUAAAGUUCCAGCAGUACUGCCCAAAUGUGAGGGUCAUUAUUGACUGCACAGAGUUCAGAUGUGAGAGCCCAGAGGCAAUUACCCUCCACUCUGAAACCUUUUCAACCUACAAGAGCUAUAUCACCUUCAAAGCUUUAAUUGGAGUGGCACCCUGUGGUGCAAUCACAUUUGCAUCCAAGUUAUUUACUGGCUCUAUCUCUGACAAGGAGUUGACAAGGCAGUCAGGGAUUUUGAACUUACUGGAGCCAGGUGACGAGGUUAUGGCAGAUAAGGGCUUCCUCAUUGGAAAGUUUCUGGAGGAUGUUAAGGCAAAAUUAAUCAUCCCCCCUUUCAAGCACAGAGACCAGUUUAGCAGAGAGGAAACUGAGAGAACCCAGGCCAUUGCCAGACUUCGCAUCCUUGUUGAACGUGCAAUUAGACGAGUAAAAGAGUACCACAUUUGGGAUUCUCCAAUUCCCCUCACUUUAGCAGGCACUGUUAAUCAGAUGUGGUCUUGCUGUUGCAUGAUGGCAAAUUACCAGGGUCCUUUAGAUCUGGAAGGUGAGAUACAAUACUGGACAGAGUGAACACCUACUUACCUGUCAUUCACAUCACCUCCUCACCAACAGCCAGUAACAUUGGCCCACCUCCUCCUGCUCACCUACCAGUAACAUCGGCCACCACCUCAUUAUCAGCCAGUAACAUUGAUCUUUUUAACAUUGAAGUUUUUUUUAUUACCGCAAGACUCUUCAGUCAACCUUGCUAUAACCAGAGAAGACCUUGUCCUGAGCUAGCUUUCUUUGUGACACUGUGGUGCAUUUUCUGUAAACCAGUAACAACAGAACACAUCUCAUCAACAGCCAGUAACAUUGGCUCACCACCUCAUCAACAGCCAGAAACAUCAGUCACCAUCUCAUCAACAGCCAAACCAGAGAAGACCUUGUACUGAGCCAGCCUACUUAUUUUCUGCAAAGCAUGAAUGUAUGUUCCAAAGUAGAAUUCAUCAGCUUUAGCCUUGAUUUAUUGGAUCAGCACAUCAUCUCUCCAUACUCUUUCUACUGUAAAGUCACCCCUAGUGUGUCUAACCACAUCACACCAAGCUAAGCCAGUGACCAUCAGCUGACCCUGAACUUGCCAGUGGGCAUUUAACUUCUACCAAGCCAUAGGGAGGUUCUUCAUUGGGGUCCACCACUUUGCCAUCUGGACUGGCACCAAGAUGCGGAGCAUGGGGGUGGAUGACGAGACCGCAUGGAAAAACGUUGACAUCAAAGGUGGCAGCAUAGCGAUGAAGAACCUCUGGCUCAAGUUCCAGUCCUCUUCGCAUUGCCUUGGUCUGGGGGGCACCUUUAAUGAUUCGUCCAGCAAGUGUCUUCGCAGUGGCUUCCGAUCUCACAUGUGAUGCUUCAUGAAACUUGCUUGCUGUAAGCCGCAGACGGCGCAUGCUUACCCAGAGGGGGCUUUUGGACUGGUCUCGUGUUCCCUCUUCAAUGAUCCUUGCCAUUUCAGGUGUCACCUCCAAACUCUCCAUAUGUAGGAGUUCAGCCCAGCUGCCGGGAACAAAAUUGUAUUGAGGAAUUGUGUAUUGUGGGACAGGUAAUGGAGGGAACUGUGGAGCAUUUGGUUGAGUAAACACAUCUUUUGGCAGCACAGCAGGACACUGGUAAGAAAGCAGUGAACCUUUGGGGACCUCUCCAAAUUUUGAUGACACCAUUGUUACAGCAGACAUCCCAUCAACAAUCUUGGCUAUCAGUGGUUGGGGCCGAAGAGAAAUGAGGGAUGCUGCUCCAGCAAGGACAUCAUUGUCAGGCAAAGGUCCUAAAACACAAUGUUCAUGUAUCAGCGUGUUAAGUGUCACCUUAUUUAAAGACCUUUUUUUAGUGUUUGGAGAUUACCUCCAAAUGCCCUAUACAGUGUUGACAGGACACUGCUCCUGCCACUGCCAGAGGCUUUUGGCUUGCGCACCACAAGCUCAUCCACUGGUUCAGGAGUUAUGCCCUGACAAACAUUACAUAUACAAUUUCAUAAGAAGAUUGUAACCUUAUUUGCACAUUAGGCACUAUAAUUUUUUUUUAUUACUCCUGAUUUACUAUUUAGUACAGCUUUAUGAUUAAGUGAUGAUUUAUUAAAUGUGUUUGAAAGAUGAGUUGUUGUCUUAUUUUAUUAUAUUUUACCUGUGUGCGGGGCCUGUGCCAGGACUGCUCCUUGCUUGUGCACGCAAUGGCAGCUGGAACUGUCUUGAUGCCUAGCGUACUAAAAUGUGCUGUCUGAUAAAGCAAUGCAACCAGAUGGUUGCACAAACUUCUUCCAGCAGCACAUGAGCAUGUAUAUGCUGUCAGUUCAGGUGGGGUGAUGGUUUCAAGUGUGAUCUGAAGAAUGUGAUAGAAAGACCUUCAUGUAUUUUACAUAUUUAUUUGUUUUGCUGUUCAUUUAAGAAGUAGACUGAACCAUUUACUCCCAACAGUACAAUGUGUAUUUGUAGCUACAUUUUAUAUUUAUAGUUCUACUUGUACAAUAUAAAUUUUUUUAAUCCAAUUCCAUGUAAAGAUUUGCAUUUUUGCAUUGACCCUGUCUAGUCAACGUUUGCUGCCAUCUACUGGGGAAGAACACUAAAAAUAACAUAUUUCAUACUAACAUACAAUGACAUCAUUCUAAUUUAUUUAUUUACUUAUUUUGUGUGUACAUUUAUAGUAUCAACUUUUUACUAUAAUUUUAAAUGCCCUAAACAAUGUACAAGGGUUACAAUGACCAUUAUAGUGUAAAAGCUAUGUUAUGUUAAUGGUAACUGCAGUUGGUGCUGUUAUUACAAAACUGUCCCAAAAUCUGUUUAUCAGAAAACAAACCAUUCAUUAUUACAUCCAGUAACUUAUUAUUUACCUCAAGCUGAUGUGGUUCCUCUCGCUUUCGUAACGACCUAUAACACCUGGCCCUAAUAACAAUUUUCCCUGAAAUAAUGUUUGUGACUGAACACACACAAAUACACAGUUAACAAGUUUUUUAUUAUUAUUUUUAUUAAGAACACUUUUAAAUCAUUCAUAAAACAACAUUGAUCGUUCUACCAUGAUAACUGCCUAGCAUAAUACCUACCUUGAUAAUCAAAAAUAAAUUGCUCAAAAAAAAAUUGUACCCUUUAUCUAAUUUUGACCUUCUUACCUCUCUCUGAAAACUAUCAACAAAACGGACAACAUCUGCUAUUCUUACUUUAGGUAAAUUAUUUAAUGUCUGAGAAAAAACAAGCUGUUAGCGGUCCAUUAUGAUUAUGAUAAUGAAUUAAUGAAUUAAUGAAUGAGAUCCUAGCCGGCGACGGCGCGACCGGAAAUGCGUUUUACCUACAUCCGGUCUCGGCCGCCAUAUUGUGAAAUAGGCCUAUGUGGCUACUGUUGGAGCACAUCUGAUCUCCUCUGAAAGCUGGUUCCAACUCCGACUGGCAUAAUAGCUAAAAGCUGACUCUUCUUGCUUUGAGUGAACCCUUGGUAUUUCUAGCUGAUGUGAUCCUAAUGAUCUGAGUGAUCUGUUGGGUUUAUAUUCAAUGAGCAUAUCAGCAAUGUAUUGAGGUCCUAGUCCACUGAGUGAUUUAUAUACCAUUAAUAAUACUUUAAAAUCAAUCCUAAAUGUAACUGGUAGCCAGUGUA